rnacentral:rRNA from 1 species
GAUGAACGCUGGCGGCAUGCCUAACACAUGCAAGUCGAUCGGUAAGGCUCUUCGGAGUACACGAGAGGCGGACGGCUGAGUAACGCGUAGGAACACACCCUGCAGUGAGGGAUAAGACACCGAAAGGUGUUCUAAUACCGCAUACGGUCUUCGGAUUAAAGCAUUUAUGCGCUGAAGGAGUGGCCUGCGUCUUAUUAGAUAGUUGGUGAGGUAAUGGCUCACCAAGUCGAUGAUGUGUAGCUGGUCUGAGAGGAUGAUCAGCCAGACUGGAACUGAGACACGGUCCAGACUCCUACGGGAGGCAGCAGUGAGGAAUAUUUCACAAUGAGCGAAAGCUUGAUGGAGCAAUGCCGCGUGAAGGAUGAAGGCCCUCGGGUUGUAAACUGCUUUUAUAAGAGAAGAUUAUGACGGUAACUUAUGAAUAAGGGACGGCUAACUACGUG